GAUAUUUGUCCGAUAUGCCCCUGAAGAUUUAGAGACUUACCUGUCGAAUUUGUUUUUUGGGACGAUUGACAUGGGGAGCUCAUCGUCAUCUCCUUCUACACCGUCGUUGUCGACGUCUUCUCAUCGGCCGCGAUCGCGCUUGUCGAGUUGAUUUUUUGAAAAUUUUUAAAGCGCAAGGGUAUAUUUGCAAAAUUUUGACCGUAUAUAUUACAUGUGCGGCUUUAUACGUG
rnacentral:misc_RNA from 1 species